ensembl:lncRNA
AUCUUGCUGGAGAUCCCUGAGGUCUUCCAAAGCGCCGCAGUACCUGUAUCUUAAUCAGUCAGUGUCAGACAGUGUCACAGGCUCGAAAUGCUUCUCUAAGCAAAGCACAGCACAAAUACCUCCCUGCUGCUUGUAGCUUAGGUUACCAUUACCAGACUAGGCUCCCGAUGUAACACUUAAAUGCUCCAAAGCAGCUGAAAUCCUCGGGCAUGUCGGCGCCAACACGUGUGCAGAACAGGACACCCCUCGGCCCCACACCAGACUGCUUCUGUGCUCUCGUGAUUCUCACUGCAGCUGCCACUCCAGUAGCAACAGCACAGGCAGAGGCAGAGCUGACAAAGGACCGCCGGUGUGGCUGAUGCGAUUUCAGUCGUGUAUGUUAUAGCAAAAAGAAUGAGGACAUGUUGUAUUUCUUAUAUCAAAAUGAUAUGUGCUCCUCAGGCUGUCUGAUUUAUAACUUCCCUGAAUGGCAUUAUUGAAAUCAGAAAGGAACAAGGCGGAAACCUAUCCAAAAUGAAAUGGUGACAUAAAUAAGAGUUUUAGAGGAAACAACGGAAGAGCUGACAAUAGGCAAUAAUUGCAGCUCCAUCAAAGCUAGAGUAGUUUACUGUUCCCAGCAGUGAAUCUAGCAUCAAAGGGAAUCCUAAACCUGAAACCCUUGGAAAGAAGUGAGUUAUCAGCAGUACAAGGUGAUUCCUGUGGAGAACAAAGAGAACGUUUUGUGAGUGGGACAGCCUGGACUUCCCCAAAUUGGAGGCAGAGUGCUCUUCCCUGAGCGUGCUGAGGUUAAGAUUGGGCUUUUAGGCCUUUUGCUGUGUCUGCAUUUUCCUUGAGGCCUUGUACCAUUGAGGCAUGGGGAAAUAGGGCUUUAUUUUUCAAAAGAUUAUUCAAGUUGCAUCUGUUCAGAGGAUCUUGCCAGAGAAGUCUUCAAGUUCCCUCGGUUAGACCUGUUGUGUUAACAGAGGAAUCUGCUGAACCUUGGCACCAUGGGCACGGAAUAUUUACGGCAGCUUUAUUAAAAUUUUGGUGUUAAAAUACUUUACUGAAUAACAGCCAGCAAUCAUAAAUUUCAGUAACUUGAAUUUUAGCUUGUCGGUUAUCUUUUGAGUGUCCUUCUGAUGCUGUGUGUGUGGAAGAAAAGUAACUGAUUGUUUGGAGCUCUUGCCUAUGUUCAAUUAAUGUGGAAAUGCAGAGGGGAGAUGAUAACUUUCCACUAGGUGUUCCAAUUUGUCUGGGUCAGUCUGUGCACUAACAAGAACUGUCUUCACGUGCAGAGGAAGGCAGUUUUACUUUUGUCUUUGAUUUUCACUGACAGUAUUCCUUCUGUCCC